rnacentral:rRNA from 1 species
AGUGAACGCUGGCGGCGUGCCUAAUACAUGCGAGUCGAACGGAGAUUAAGUAGCUUGCUAUUUAAUCUUAGUGGCGCACGGGUGAGUAAUAUAUAGCUAACUUGCCCAUUACUAAGGGACAGCAGUUGGAAACGACUGCUAAUACCUUAUACUCCGUAUCUAUAUAAGUAGAUACGGGAAAGUUUUUCGGUAAUGGAUAGGGCUAUAUCGUAUCAGCUAGUUGGUAAGGUAAUGGCUUACCAAGGCUAUGACGCGUAACUGGUCUGAGAGGAUGAUCAGUCACACUGGAACUGAGACACGGUCCAGACUCCUACGGGAGGCAGCAGUAGGGAAUAUUGCUCAAUGGGGGAAACCCUGAAGCAGCAACGCCGCGUGGAGGAUGACACUUUUCGGAGCGUAAACUCCUUUUCUUGGGAAAGAAUUAUGACGGUACCCAAGGAAUAAGCACCGGCUAACUCCGUG